CACCUUUGUCAGGGGAUUGGAAGCGAUUUACCCUUUGGAACUAAUACAGUGAUUUCUUCUUCCUGAUGGGUCUAGAAAUGCGGCUCUGUGUUUGUGAAUGAGAGCUGUAUUUAGAGGCAUGUGAGGUCCCGCCCUACUGUGCCCACAAUUACAUUUUUCUUCCUGGUCCUUUGGAGGCCAGAUCCUCAGGUGGCAGAAAUCAGUGGCGCUCAUUUGACUUCAGCGGAGCUGCGCCUGUUUAUACCAAUGGCAAAUCUGGGCCAAAGUUUGGAGACACUCCUCUCUUUGUUGGCUGAGUCCUGUUCAGCUGGGUGGGAAGAUGACUGUUUAGUGUCACCCACAAGUUUUGUAACGUUUUCCCAAUAUUCCUUGGCAGGGGCACUUGCACGACAGAUAUGGGCAGCUUGUGAAUAUUUAUACCAAACUUCUACUCACCAAGAUAUCCUUUCACCUAAAGCAUCCUGACUUUCCCCCAGGCCUAGAAGUGACGGAUGAGGUGCUAGAAAAGGCUGCUGGGACAGAUGUGAAUAACAUGUAAGUUUCCUUUUAGGUAUUUAAAACCUUCUACAAAGCAUAAUGACUCUCUUUGUCCUGAGCACCAUUCAUGUAAAUGGUGCAUCCUGUCAAUGAAAUACUCCACAUUAAAGUUCAAAGUGCUCUGUGUUGGAGACACAGGCCAGCUUAUUUUAUUAGACUGAUAAAGCCAUAAAAUGCAUCAUAAAUCUGAGUGAGGCAAACAGCGUCUUUGCACAGAAGGACCUUUGCAGAGUGCUGCAUGAGCUGUGAGCGAGACUGUUGUUUAUCAUUUAUAAGUGGCAAGAUGGUGCUAGUGUAAAGGUAAGCGCAUGCUGAUGAUAUUCCUCCUGCAGGGAACUUCAGCCUGAAUCCACAUCAGCCAACCCUUCCAGCCAUGGGCCAAAGUGCAAAUAAGCAAAGGCCUGAUUUUCAGAGGACCUGAGUACCUGCAACACUCAUUGGAGUCCUGGGUGUUCGGCACCUCUGAAAAGUGGGCCCCAAAGUUCUGUCAUCUUAAGCAGCGCAUCAGGAAACAGUCAGAUCUGUUAGAUUCUUUCCAAAGGGAAAGUUUCAGAGUAGCAGCCGUGUUAGUCUGUAUCCGCAAAA
rnacentral:lncRNA from 1 species